rnacentral:lncRNA from 1 species
GAGAUGAACACGGUGGUCACCCAAUGCAUCUUAGUGGCGGGAGAGGGGUCACUCUGCAUGUUAAUGGGGAGCGCAGGCAGCCGGGCCAGAGGAAACUGCCCCACGUGCCCACCAGUUUGUUUCUCAGCCUCUUGUCUCCUUUCCCUCCACCCUCAGGAAUGGGUCCCUGGUCAAGAAUGUGGAAGCAUCUGGCAAACACAGACGCGGAGAUACGGGACCAACGGGUGUACACACUCAGCCUUGUCCAGAAAGAGCCUGUAAUGCUCCCUGGCCUUAUUCCCAAAGCCCUGAGGAUCACAGAGGGGACUGAAGUGAAAAUGGCCCACCAGUUAGAAGUUGCCCACUCCCAUAGGCCAUGGGAUGUGGACCGCCUGGCCUUCCGCAAUGCCACCAUCCAGCUGCAGCAGCUGAGGCCAGUGGAGGCCCCCAUGGCCAGCCCAGCAGCUGAGUGGUGGGUGGUCCAGGAAUGGCGGCCAGGCUGUGACCAGAGCUGGGGCUGCAUCAGGACCAGGAGCUCGUCAUCUUUAAUGACAAAAUCAGCCCCCAGAGCCUGGGCUUCCUGGCAGGAUACGGCAUUGUCGGGCUCUACGUGUCGGUGGUGA